ACUUUUGCGCAGUGGCAGUAUCGUAGCCAAUGAGGUUAAUCCGAGGCGCGAUUAUUGCUAAUUGAUCCUUUUAAAUAAUUUGUGAGCCCUCUAGUGGUACUCACUGUUCUAGAUUUUAGAAGUUGCCAGAACCCAACCAGAGUGGCAAUGUGUGUAUGUAGCUAGGUCUG
rnacentral:snRNA from 1 species